AACAAACGCUGGCGGCGUGCCUAAUACAUGCAAGUCGAACAGGGAAAGGCCUUCGGGCCCGGUACUAGUGGCGCACGGGUGAGUAAUACAUGGGUAACCUGCCUUUCAGUGGGGAACAACCAGGGGAAACUCUGGCUAAUACCGCAUAAGACCACAGGAUCUGCGGAUCUAGGGGUUAAAGAUUUAUCGCUGAAAGAUGGGCUCAUGUCCGAUUAGCUAGUUGGUGGGGUAACGGCCCACCAAGGCUCCGAUCGGUAGCUGGUCUGAGAGGAUGAUCAGCCACACUGGAACUGAGACACGGUCCAGACUCCUACGGGAGGCAGCAGUAGGGAAUAUUGCACAAUGGAGGAAACUCUGAUGCAGCAACGCCGCGUGUGUGAUGAAGGCUCUCGGGUCGUAAAGCACUGUCGCAGGGGAAGAUAAUGACGGUACCCUGCAAGAAAGGACCGGCUAACUUCGUGCCAGCAGCCGCGGUAAGACGAGGGGUCCUAGCGUUG
rnacentral:rRNA from 1 species